GUGGUCGUAGCUUAAUAGGUUAAAGCAUCUGACUGUGACUCAGAGGACUGCCGGUUCGAUUCCGGUCGAUCACCCCA
rnacentral:tRNA from 1 species